AGUGAACGCUGGCGGUAGGCCUAACACAUGCAAGUCGAACGGCAGCACAGUAAGAGCUUGCUCAUACGGGUGGCGAGUGGCGGACGGGUGCGGAAUACAUCGGAAUCUACUUUUUCGUGGGGGAGAACGUAGGGAAAAUUACGCUAAUACCGCAUACGACCUACGGGUGAAAGCAGGGGAUCUUAGGACCUUGCGCGAUUGAAUGAGCCUAUGUCGGAUUAGUUAGUUGGAGGGGUAAAGGCCCACCAAGGCGAAGAUCCGUAGCUGGUAUGAGCGGUUGAUUAGUCACACUGGAAAUGAGAAACGGUCCAGACUCCUACGGGGGGCCGCAGUGGGGAAUAUUGGACAAUGGGGGAAAGCCUGAUCCAGCCCUGCCGGGGGGGGGAAGAAGGGCUUCGGGUUGUAAAACCCUUUUUGUUGGGAGAAAAAGGAGUAAGUUAAUACCCCGCUGUUUUGACGUGACCCACAGAAUAAGCACCGGCUAACUUCGUG
rnacentral:rRNA from 1 species